rnacentral:rRNA from 1 species
UUAAGCGACUAAGCGUACACGGUGGAUGCCCUGGCAGUCAGAGGCGAUGAAGGACGUGCUAAUCUGCGAAAAGCGUCGGUAAGGUGAUAUGAACCGUUAUAACCGGCGAUGUCCGAAUGGGGAAACCCAGUGCAAUUCGUUGCACUAUCGUUAACUGAAUACAUAGGUUAACGAGGCGAACCGGGGGAACUGAAACAUCUAAGUACCCCGAGGAAAAGAAAUCAACCGAGAUUCCCCCAGUAGCGGCGAGCGAACGGGGAGCAGCCCAGAGUCUGAAUCAGCUUGUGUGUUAGUGGAACGGUCUGGAAAGUCCGACGGUACAGGGUGAUAGUCCCGUACACCAAAAUGCACAGGCUGUGAACUCGAAGAGUAGGGCGGGACACGUGGUAUCCUGUCUGAAUAUGGGGGGACCAUCCUCCAAGGCUAAAUACUCCUGACUGACCGAUAGUGAACCAGUACCGUGAGGGAAAGGCGAAAAGAACCCCGGCGAGGGGAGUGAAAAAGAACCUGAAACCGUGUACGUACAAGCAGUGGGAGCACCUUCGGGUGUGACUGCGUACCUUUUGUAUAAUGGGUCAGCGACUUAUAUUCUGUAGCAAGGUUAACCGUAUAGGGGAGCCGCAGGGAAACCGAGUCUUAACUGGGCGUUAAGUUGCAGGGUAUAGACCCGAAACCCGGUGAUCUAGCCAUGGGCAGGUUGAAGGUUGGGUAACACUAACUGGAGGACCGAACCGACUAAUGUUGAAAAAUUAGCGGAUGACUUGUGGCUGGGGGUGAAAGGCCAAUCAAACCGGGAGAUAGCUGGUUCUCCCCGAAAGCUAUUUAGGUAGCGCCUCGUGAACUCAUCUUCGGGGGUAGAGCACUGUUUCGGCUAGGGGGUCAUCCCGACUUACCAACCCGAUGCAAACUACGAAUACCGAAGAAUGUUAUCACGGGAGACACACGGCGGGUGCUAACGUCCGUCGUGAAGAGGGAAACAACCCAGACCGCCAGCUAAGGUCCCAAAGUCAUGGUUAAGUGGGAAACGAUGUGGGAAGGCACAGACAGCCAGGAUGUUGGCUUAGAAGCAGCCAUCAUUUAAAGAAAGCGUAAUAGCUCACUGGUCGAGUCGGCCUGCGCGGAAGAUGUAACGGGGCUAAACCAUGCACCGAAGCUGCGGCAGCGACACUAUGUGUUGUUGGGUAGGGGAGCGUUCUGUAAGCCUGCGAAGGUGUGCUGUGAGGCAUGCUGGAGGUAUCAGAAGUGCGAAUGCUGACAUAAGUAACGAUAAAGCGGGUGAAAAGCCCGCUCGCCGGAAGACCAAGGGUUCCUGUCCAACGUUAAUCGGGGCAGGGUGAGUCGACCCCUAAGGCGAGGCCGAAAGGCGUAGUCGAUGGGAAACAGGUUAAUAUUCCUGUACUUGGUGUUACUGCGAAGGGGGGACGGAGAAGGCUAUGUUAGCCGGGCGACGGUUGUCCCGGUUUAAGCAUGUAGGCUGAUUGUCCAGGCAAAUCCGGAUAAUCAAGGCUGAGGUGUGAUGACGAGGCACUACGGUGCUGAAGUAACAAAUGCCCUGCUUCCAGGAAAAGCCUCUAAGCAUCAGGUAACAUCAAAUCGUACCCCAAACCGACACAGGUGGUCAGGUAGAGAAUACCAAGGCGCUUGAGAGAACUCGGGUGAAGGAACUAGGCAAAAUGGUGCCGUAACUUCGGGAGAAGGCACGCUGGUGUGUAGGUGAAGUCCCUGCGGAUGGAGCUGAGACCAGUCGAAGAUACCAGCUGGCUGCAACUGUUUAUUAAAAACACAGCACUGUGCAAACACGAAAGUGGACGUAUACGGUGUGACGCCUGCCCGGUGCCGGAAGGUUAAUUGAUGGGGUUAUCCGUAAGGAGAAGCUCUUGAUCGAAGCCCCGGUAAACGGCGGCCGUAACUAUAACGGUCCUAAGGUAGCGAAAUUCCUUGUCGGGUAAGUUCCGACCUGCACGAAUGGCGUAAUGAUGGCCAGGCUGUCUCCACCCGAGACUCAGUGAAAUUGAACUCGCUGUGAAGAUGCAGUGUACCCGCGGCAAGACGGAAAGACCCCGUGAACCUUUACUAUAGCUUGACACUGAACAUUGAGCCUUGAUGUGUAGGAUAGGUGGGAGGCUUUGAAGCGUGGACGCCAGUCUGCGUGGAGCCAACCUUGAAAUACCACCCUUUAAUGUUUGAUGUUCUAACGUUGGCCCCUUACCGGGGUUGCGGACAGUGUCUGGUGGGUAGUUUGACUGGGGCGGUCUCCUCCCAAAGCGUAACGGAGGAGCACGAAGGUUAGCUAAUCCUGGUCGGACAUCAGGAGGUUAGUGCAAUGGCAUAAGCUAGCUUGACUGCGAGCGUGACGGCGCGAGCAGGUGCGAAAGCAGGUCAUAGUGAUCCGGUGGUUCUGAAUGGAAGGGCCAUCGCUCAACGGAUAAAAGGUACUCCGGGGAUAACAGGCUGAUACCGCCCAAGAGUUCAUAUCGACGGCGGUGUUUGGCACCUCGAUGUCGGCUCAUCACAUCCUGGGGCUGAAGUAGGUCCCAAGGGUAUGGCUGUUCGCCAUUUAAAGUGGUACGCGAGCUGGGUUUAGAACGUCGUGAGACAGUUCGGUCCCUAUCUGCCGUGGGCGCUGGAGAAUUGAGGGGGGCUGCUCCUAGUACGAGAGGACCGGAGUGGACGCAUCACUGGUGUUCGGGUUGUCAUGCCAAUGGCACUGCCCGGUAGCUAAAUGCGGAAGAGAUAAGUGCUGAAAGCAUCUAAGCACGAAACUUGCCCCGAGAUGAGUUCUCCCUGAGACUNAAAUCGUACCCCAAACCGACACAGGUGGUCAGGUAGAGAAUACCAAGGCGCUUGAGAGAACUCGGGUGAAGGAACUAGGCAAAAUGGUGCCGUAACUUCGGGAGAAGGCACGCUGGUGUGUAGGUGAAGUCCCUGCGGAUGGAGCUGAGACCAGUCGAAGAUACCAGCUGGCUGCAACUGUUUAUUAAAAACACAGCACUGUGCAAACACGAAAGUGGACGUAUACGGUGUGACGCCUGCCCGGUGCCGGAAGGUUAAUUGAUGGGGUUAUCCGUAAGGAGAAGCUCUUGAUCGAAGCCCCGGUAAACGGCGGCCGUAACUAUAACGGUCCUAAGGUAGCGAAAUUCCUUGUCGGGUAAGUUCCGACCUGCACGAAUGGCGUAAUGAUGGCCAGGCUGUCUCCACCCGAGACUCAGUGAAAUUGAACUCGCUGUGAAGAUGCAGUGUACCCGCGGCAAGACGGAAAGACCCCGUGAACCUUUACUAUAGCUUGACACUGAACAUUGAGCCUUGAUGUGUAGGAUAGGUGGGAGGCUUUGAAGCGUGGACGCCAGUCUGCGUGGAGCCAACCUUGAAAUACCACCCUUUAAUGUUUGAUGUUCUAACGUUGGCCCCUGACCGGGGUUGCGGACAGUGUCUGGUGGGUAGUUUGACUGGGGCGGUCUCCUCCCAAAGCGUAACGGAGGAGCACGAAGGUUAGCUAAUCCUGGUCGGACAUCAGGAGGUUAGUGCAAUGGCAUAAGCUAGCUUGACUGCGAGCGUGACGGCGCGAGCAGGUGCGAAAGCAGGUCAUAGUGAUCCGGUGGUUCUGAAUGGAAGGGCCAUCGCUCAACGGAUAAAAGGUACUCCGGGGAUAACAGGCUGAUACCGCCCAAGAGUUCAUAUCGACGGCGGUGUUUGGCACCUCGAUGUCGGCUCAUCACAUCCUGGGGCUGAAGUAGGUCCCAAGGGUAUGGCUGUUCGCCAUUUAAAGUGGUACGCGAGCUGGGUUUAGAACGUCGUGAGACAGUUCGGUCCCUAUCUGCCGUGGGCGCUGGAGAAUUGAGGGGGGCUGCUCCUAGUACGAGAGGACCGGAGUGGACGCAUCACUGGUGUUCGGGUUGUCAUGCCAAUGGCACUGCCCGGUAGCUAAAUGCGGAAGAGAUAAGUGCUGAAAGCAUCUAAGCACGAAACUUGCCCCGAGAUGAGUUCUCCCUGAGACUUUAAGUCUCCUGAAGGAACGUUAAAGACGAUGACGUUGAUAGGCCGGGUGUGUAAGCGCAGCGAUGCGUUGAGCUAACCGGUACUAAUGAACCGUGAGGCUUAACCUU